GUUUGCCAUGUUCACUCAAACUUCUAGUUUUAAUCCAUCCCUUGUGGCUACUUGCGCAGUUUCAGUUUCUAUGCAAGCUCUUCUGCAUGACCUUGUACAGUUAUAAAUGUUUUAACAUCCAUAAAAAAGUAAAACCGUGCGCUCCCAUAAAGAGCAGCAAACAGAAAACACAGCGAGUAGAAGGAAGAUUUGAGGCCGUGCAACGCUAGUCUCGCUGCGGCCGACGUUCCUGCGCGUCCAUUGCAUCCCUGACGUUUAAUGGCUGUGAAUACGGUUAUCGCGGCUUUUUAGAGGGCAUUAUAUUAGUGUGACCGUCGCUUCAUCAGAAAGCCUUGAUGGAAGACAGAGCACUCUGCUGAAUACCCUACAACAGAUCUAAAUUCAGUUCAACCUAAAAACUGUCUGUGGUGCCUAGUAUGUGUCCAGAACCGGGGCUACGGAGGUGAGGUCUUAUGAAAUGGACGUGUUCACAACCAGCUGUACCAAGG
rnacentral:lncRNA from 1 species